UUGCAUAAGCAUUCACCCACACUGGCC
rnacentral:piRNA from 1 species